rnacentral:rRNA from 1 species
CAGCAGCCGCGGUAAUACGUAGGGUGCAAGCGUUAAUCGGAAUUACUGGGCGUAAAGCGUGCGCAGGCGGUUAUAUAAGACAGAUGUGAAAUCCCCGGGCUCAACCUGGGAACUGCAUUAGUGACUGUAUAGCUAGAGUGCGGCAGAGGGGGAUGGAAUUCCGCGUGUAGCAGUGAAAUGCGUAGAUAUGCGGAGGAACACCGAUGGCGAAGGCAAUCCCCUGGGCCUGCACUGACGCUCAUGCACGAAAGCGUGGGGAGCAAACAGGAUUAGAUACCCCGGUAGUCCCUGUCUCUUAUAC